GCCGCGAUGGUCCAGAGGUCACGACACCGGGCCCUCAACCCGGAGAGCGGGGUUCGAUUCCCCGUCGCGGUA
rnacentral:tRNA from 1 species